ACUCCUGGUGCUCGCGUAGACUAGACCAGUGCGAUGGGCGGAGCCAACGAGGAGGCACAAUUUACAUCCUUGGCCGUCCCUACUCGGAUUUGCUGAAGGAGUCACGUCGGUCGUUAAGGUUAAGCUUUGUAGAGAACAGCGGCGUUUGUUUAACGUCCGGGGAUGCUGAACUCGAAAUCCCCGUUCUGAGCCGGCUACCUAAACAACCUUCCCGACCACCUCUCCUGACCUCGGUGCUUGGGACCAGGGAAAAGCAGAUCUUGCCACAGACUUGUCUUGGCCCACACUCUGCCCUAUCGUCAUGGCCUGCUCCCACAGGUCAUAACUUCCGUUCAAAUCAGUACCCCCACAUUUCCCACUGCAAGGGUAAAUUUGAAAGUUUCUCAGGUGACUCCUUGGAUGUAGCAGUACUGAGUCCUCUAACCGGAAAGAAGGAACUGAUGUCCACCCUCACUUUCCAGGGGCCUCCAGGAGCCCCUAGACACUUCUGUGGUCUACUGUAGCUACCAAAAAUGUAGCUGGUUAUAACAUGGGGAGAGCCAGAGUCGGAGGACCUGACUUCCAAUUCUGACUUGGAUACUAAUAUCACAUCAUUGUACCCAUUUCAAACUCCCCCUCUGUAAAAUGGAAAAUUGGACUAGAUGAUCUCUUAGGACUUCAAACUGUAACCCUGUGGUUUUAUUCAAAAAAAACAGGUAGCUUCUUGCUGGAGAUUCCUGGAUGGAUUCCAGUCUUCCCAAGAGGUAACAAAGGAGAGGUAACCAGUUGCCCGUGCAGUAGCUCAAGAAUACAGAAGAGAAACUGGCUUCACUCACUAUUCCAUCUUUUUCCAAGGUGGCAAACUCUAUGCCUCCUCCCCAGAGAAAAGCCUAACUGUAGGUUCUAAUGGACAAGAGCUCACUGUAGCUGGUCAGAAAGGCCUAUAUCCAGGACUACAAUAGUCAUUGCUCAGCUUCCUAAGUAGGGAAUACAACUAGGCCCCUUUGGGUCUUGGAUAGGCUAAGAGGACAGAUCUGAACAUGCCUGGGUCUAAGUGAGGUGUGGGAAAAUAGUGGCAGGGGGCAGCAUGGUCGUGCAGUAAAGGGCUAUAACUUUAUUUGUAUUUCCUCUUACACAAAACCAUCAAAACAAGAACAGAAAAAGGCUGAAAAUCCGUUCAAACCCCAUGUUCUCAGGGAUAUUCCAGGGAGUUCUUGAGGCUGAGUGCGUAGCUUCAAAUCCAGCACUAAUUCCUCACCCCCUGGCCUGAGGUCUUCAUAGAUUGGUGGCUUGAGCCCUGCAAUUAAUUAUAAUCCCUUGCCCACCUUGAUGUAAGGCAGGAAAGCAGAUUGAAAUGCUCCUCUCUGAUGGGCAAGGGGAAUCACAGCCCAUAGAUGUACUGCACCUUCUGUACUACAGGAGCAGAACCUGAAGCUGCUUCCAAGGCUCUGGACACUUGGCACGCAGGGCUAGAGGCCAAUGGUAUAUGAGCGGCCUGUGGGGUUAUGAAUAGCAGAACAGACUGGUGCUGUCACAGCCCACUCAUACCACACCUUCUUGGAAUUGCUGCAUCGCCAGAAACGCACACAGAUGGUUUGGCCUUCACGUACCGUUAUGGGCUGCUGUAAGAAGAAAGACAGGAAGGUUCAGGGUGAAGCUAUGAAUUAUACAUGGCAAUGUAUUAAGGCUCGGACCUCAUUGUACAGCUUGGAGGAAGAGAUGGGAGCCAGAAAGGAAGUGUACUCCCCGGGGAUGCUCACACCAUCAUCUGCACAGCAGGAGAGUCAAAUUAGUUCCAGAGGGAGGGAAAUGGUAUGUCUGUACUAACUGAAGGAUCAGAAGGAUCAAACCUCCCAUGUCAAAACCAACCAACGUUGGCAUGGGCAUGGAAGAAAGAGACAAAUGCAUGUUGUCACAUUACUAAGCCAGCCUGCUUCCAACUACUGUCAUGGAGGAUUCCACUACUAGGUUAAUUUACAGAGUCACACAGAUUAAAACUGAAAGAACCCAAGAUA
rnacentral:lncRNA from 1 species